UUACUCUCUAGGUUUAACUAGUUUGUGCUAUGAAAACUCUAUCUCCUUUAUGAUAAUUGGUUCAUUAAGUCAUGUGUCUAUUUAGGAGGGAAAUUCUUUUGUUUAGUCAGACUUUACUUAUAUUUUGAACUGAUUGGAGCUGUGCUGUUCCUUAUAUAAUUUUAUUCAAAUUUGGUGGACAUCUUUGAUUUUUUUUCAAAUAAGGAAAUUUCUAUUAGUAAAUGAAUCAAAUGAAGAAUCUUCAUGGUUAAAUGCAUAGAAAGGAUAUUUGAAGAGAGCCAAUGACAUAAGGAGAAGCAGUUCUGAAUUUUGAAAUUGAUAUAAAGGAGAGGUCAUUCAUCACAGAAGAUUUAAUCAAAGUUUACAGUAUGUUGAGAGAAGUUCAGAACAAGCAAUUUGGUUGAAGAGGAGUUGUCAACACGUCAUCUUUGAACAAGGUCAAUUGUAUUAGAAGUGAAUCCUUAACAGAAAUGAGACAAUAAUCAAAUAAUUCAAAGACUACAUGGAUGUUAUCUG